rnacentral:rRNA from 1 species
CAGUCGCCGCGGGAAUACGUAGGUCCCGAGCGUUGUCCGGAUUUAUUGGGCGUAAAGCGAGCGCAGGCGGUUAGAUAAGUCUGAAGUUAAAGGCUGUGGCUUAACCAUAGUACGCUCUGGAAACUGUUUAACUUGAGUGCGAGAGGGGGGAGUGGAAUUCCAUGUGUAGCGGUGAAAUGCGUAGAUAUAUGGAGGAACACCGGUGGCGAAAGCGGCUCUCUGGCUUGUAACUGACGCUGAGGCUCGAAAGCGUGGGGAGCAAACAGGAUUAGAGACCCCGGUAGUCCCUGUCUCUUAUACA